rnacentral:lncRNA from 1 species
AAUAUCUUGUUCUUAGUAAGAUGAUCACUCAUAGGUUUCAUAAUGAUCAUACAAUUAGAUUCUCCAGACUAUAAUAACAUAUUCAACAGUCAUCCAUGUCUAGUAUGUUAUCAAAGAAACCAAUGCAAGGUUGUCAUACUAAAGAGUCUAUAUUUGGAUAGAAAUUCAAAAAUUAAAAUCAGAAAAUUAAACAUCUUAUGUGCUUUAGUAUUCUUGGUUAGUUAGUCCUCUAGGCUGUGCCACAUGAGUACAUGACCUGAAUAGGCUGAAUCUCAUGAAGACAACUCAAUGCUCCACAAACCACUUUCUACUUGUCUCCACAUCCGAGCAUAAAUCCGUACAUGUAUUAUGCUUAUCAGCUCUACCCUCUCAUUCCUGUACGAUUUUGGCAUGAACAGACCUGCAUUCAGCAAUUCGUGUCUCGUCCGGAGAUGAACUGAACAGAAAGACAGGAUAUUCAUGAAUCACCUGCACCCAGGGACGAAGUCGGGCCAGCGGGCGGGAUCACAGCAGGACUCCGGGAGCGUGUGGUGAUAUUACCAAUGCCCACGAAUGACCUGAUAAUUCACAAAGAGCAGGCCUUGAGUUGGAUGAAAAAAAGUAUAGUGCACUUAAAAAAUAUCUGAAACCCUUAAGUCCAAUUUCCCUGAUGCAGUCAAGAGGGGAAAAGAAAAUGAAUAAAUCCUUGGCUGCAACUAUACUGAUUUGUGAAAUCUAUUAUAUAAGUGCUGAGUAAAAUCACUCUGACACCAAAACUGAAACAUCAGACCUGAGAACAUAUACUUACUAGGGGUACUGGGCGUAUAUGUCGUAUACUGCUCUACAGUGGACUACGUACUGGGGGUGCAUUGUUCUGAAAAGGACCAAUUCAAAUCAUCGUAAAAGCAUAAUAGGAAGAACAAAAACAAUGUAGGAUUGGUGGUCUACGUGUUUACAACGUGGAGUGUACACGAGAUCUGAUAAUUGAGCAUAAUAACACAUUUAAAUUAGCAGAAAUAAGAAUCACAUCGGUGGAUAAUGCAUGCUUGUUAUAGUAAGUAGGGCUAGAUGACUGACCUGCUAAUGCAUAUUCAUGUAAGGAAGCAGAAGCAUUAGAUGAGUCUGAAUCAUUGGGUACUGAUGCAUGAUCAUGAGAGGACCAAUUCAAAUCAGUAUAAAAGCAUAAAAGGAAGAACAUAAAAAUGUAUAAUUUGGUGGUCUACGUGUUUACAAAGCGGAGCAUACGCGCGAUCUAGUAAUUAGGCAUAAUAGCGUAUUCAAAUUAGCAUAAAAAGACAUAUUUAGGAAAUAAAAAUUACAGAGGUGGAUCAUGCAUGUUGGUUACAGUAAGUAGGGCUAGAUGGCUGACUUACUGAUGCAUGUUCAUGUAAGGAAGCAGAAGCAUCAGAUGAGUCUGAAUCAUUUGGUA